rnacentral:lncRNA from 1 species
AUGGCCGUCAUUGCUUGCAGAGAGGAUCCGAUGGCUGACACUUGAUCUGGAUUGGAACUAGAGUUCAGAGGCGCGAUCUGAUGGCUCUGGAGUGAGCCGAUCGCAAUCGGACAGCCUAGAUCAAAUCUGGAGGUGAUCUGGACCCUGAUUGCAUGAUCGGAGGGCUCUGGUUCGAGCCGGUCACGAUCAGAUGGUCCAAAAGGAUUCUAAGAUUUAAUUUGAGUCUGAUAUCCUAGUGAAACACUGUUUUGGUGAUUUUAAAGUCUAUAUAGCUCC